rnacentral:misc_RNA from 1 species
AACGGUCUAUACCUGCGGUACCUGCGGAGGGAUCAUUAACGAGUGUAACUUACCCUUUUUUUUAAAAGAGGGUAGUACCUCCUGUCCUUUGUAGGCCCCUUUUUAUUGGGGGGCUUUUUAAGACUUUCUGCUUCGGCGGGGUUAUUCCCGCCGGAACACCCUCAAAAAACUCUUCAAAAACUAAUUCAGUCCGAGAAUUUUUGAAAAUAAAAAAAACUUUCAGCAACGGAUCUCUAGAUC